rnacentral:rRNA from 1 species
UACGUAGGGGGCAAGCGUUGUCCGGAUUUAUUGGGCGUAAAGAGCGUGUAGGCGGCCAGGUAGGUCCGUUGUGAAAACUGGAGGCUUAACCUCCAGCUGUCGAUGGAAACCAUCUGGCUAGAGUCCGGAAGAGGAGAGUGGAAUUCCUGGUGUAGCGGUGAAAUGCGCAGAUAUCAGGAGGAACACCGGUGGCGAAGGCGGAUCUCUGGGCCAUUACUGACGCUGAGGAGCGAAAGCGUGGGGAGCGAACAGG